GUUGUUGCGGUUAACGUUCGUAGUUUAUCUGUGAAAAAUGUCGUAUUUCAGUACUGGAUUUAUUUCUGAUCGAUAUAUGCUUACAAGAGUAUAUAGCAAAAUUACUGUGAAAAAAUUUUUGUGUUCAAGGCAGGCUAUUGUUUAGGAAAUAGUAGCACAGGAUAUGAACUGAGUUCUAAAAAUUGUAUCAAAUUUACAGGUUGGAAACGUGACAGGGACAGACGGGGGCAUUCGUACUUCAUUGUCAGAGGUAAAAUUCUAGGAUUUUUGUAUGACGAACGAAAGCGAAGGCAUUUGCCAGGAAUGUUCUCCUUGAUUAAGGACGACUGUUGGGUGCUCAAAGACGAUUAGAUACCGUUGUAGUCUCAACGCCAAACGAUGCCAACCAGGAAUAGGCGAGUGUUACAUUUUGUUGAAUCUUGUCUGAACUUUUAGAGAAAUCAGAGUUUUUGGGUUCCGGGGGGAAUACGGUUGCAAGGCUGAAACUUGAAGGAAUUGACGUAAGGGCACCACCAGGCGCGGAGCCUGCGGCUUAAUUUGACUCAACCCGGGAAAACUUACCAGGUCCGAACAUUGCAAGGAAAGACAGAUUAAAUUUCUUUCUUAAUUUUAUGGAUAGUGGUGCAUGGCCGCUCUUAGUUCGUGGGUUGACUUGUUAGGUUGACUCCAGUAACGAACGAGAUCUUUAUUUGCUAAUUAGCCGUAAAACGUUGUAGGUUUUAUAGUAUCUAGUGUGCUUGGUUUCUUAAAGAGACGAUUUUCAGAAAAGGAGGAAAUGGAAGUUAGAGGCAAUAGCAGGUCUGUGAUGCCCUUAGACGUUCUGGGCUGCUCGCGCGCUACAAUGAUGGAUCCAACUAGUUUGCCUACUUAGAUAUAGGUGGGAAAGCAACAAGUCUACAUCGUGGCGGGGAUAGAUCCUUGAA
rnacentral:rRNA from 1 species